GACGAACGCUGGCGGCGUGCUUAACACAUGCAAGUCGAACGGAAAGGCCCUGCUUUUGUGGGGUGCUCGAGUGGCGAACGGGUGAGUAACACGUGAGUAACCUGACCUUGAAUUUGGGAUAACUUCAGGAAACUGGGGCUAAUACCGGCUAGGAGCUCCUGCUGCAAGGUGGGGGUUGGAAAGUUUCGGCGGUUGGGGAUGGACUCGCGGCUUAUCAGCUUGUUGGUGGGGUAGUGGCUUACCAAGGCUUUGACGGGUAGCCGGCCUGAGAGGGUGACCGGCCACAUUGGGACUGAGAUACGGCCCAGACUCCUACGGGAGGCAACAGUGGGGAAUAUUGCACAAUGGGCGGAAGCCUGAUGCAGCAACGCCGCGUGCGGGAUAACGGCCUUCGUGUUGUAAACCGCUUUCGCCUGUGACGAAGCGUGAGUGACGGUAAUGGGUAAAGAAGCACCGGCUAACUACGUG
rnacentral:rRNA from 1 species